AUUGCCGCUUGGGAUGGGCUGGAUCAGGUGAUCAGGCAGGCGGUCUUCUCAGGGCAAGGCUCAUCCCCUGCACUGUAGGUGUGCUGACCUCUGCAGUUUCCCCAAAUGCAAGAAACUCAACUGCAUAAUUUGUGAUAGUGAGGGAUCACAUUCACGCUCUCCCUUG
rnacentral:snRNA from 17 species